rnacentral:lncRNA from 1 species
AGUAACUGUUCUCCUGCCUCAGGAUCCCUAUGAGGAUGAAGUGUGACUAUGUAUAUAAAAACAUUUUGUUUAUUGUACAGCACUGUAUACUGCCAUCUUAUUACAUAAAGAAAGGAAGGUGGGAGGUAGUAGAGCGGAAUGAUUAAGAGCUAGGCUCUGGCCGGGCACAGUGGCUCACGCCUGUAAUCCCAGCACUUUGGGAGGCUGAGGUGGGUGGAUCACUUGAGGUCAGGAGUUUGACCUGGCCAACAUGGUGAAAGCCCAUCUCUACCAGAAAAAAAAAAAGAAAGAAAGAAAGAAAUUAGCCAGGUGUGGUGGUAGGUUCCUGUAAUCCUAGCUGCUAGCUUCUCAGGUGGCUGAAGCAGAAGAAUCACUUGAACUUAGGAGACAGAGGUUGCAGUGAGACGAUAUGGUGCCACUGCACUGCAGCCUGGGCAACAGAGUGAGACUCCAUCUCAAAAAAAAAAAAAAAAAAAAAAAAAAAGCUAAACUGUGAAGUCAGUUUGCCAGGGUCUAUGAGUGGAAAUGUUACAAAGAAGUUUCUUAUGAAAACAUGAGUCUCGAAUGAGCCAAAGGCAGUGAUGCCCAGGAAUGGAGUUGUGGUAACUUAAAGGAAUGUAUCAGUCAUCUGUUGCUCUAUAAUGAACCCCAAAACUUAGUGGCUUCAAAUAAUGAGCUUAUUCUUUCACACAGUCUCCGUGGAUCAGGAAUCGAGAGCACCUUAAUUGGGUGCUUCUCACUUGGCGUCUCUUGUGAGACUGAAGUCACCCAGGGUUUAGACUGGGACUGGAGGACCCACUUCCCCGAUGGCUCACCCACUGUGGCUGGCCCUCUCCACAGGUCUGGACUUGGGAGAGGGAUCUGGACUGAAGUGGAGGAAUCCAGUGCAAGUAGUGGAACCCUCUGAAAUCUUGGUUUGUGACUACAAAUGCUAUUCCAAUAUUUGAAGCUAAUAAGUCCAUCUAAGUUUGCUGCAUGGAAAUACAUUCAAUCAAUCAUCCAACAUUAUGAGGUGUCUCCUGUAUUGCAGAAAGAUGAAUAGCCAACAAAGGCUGAUGAUAACCACCCCCCCGCCCCCCGUCUCCCUUCUUCCUCUCUCUGUCAAAGCAUGAGAAGCAUCUGAAUAUUCAGUUUCCA